UUCGCGAAAUGCAGAAUUUGAAGGAAUAGAUAUUAUAUUGCAGAUUUGCUUAACUUUAGACUAUACGAUUAGCAUUUGAACAUGCAAAAAUAAUUUUUUCAUGAUAUCAGGAUAGAUUUUGUUGUAGCAAAAACAGUAGAAUAGGUUGUUAGAUUCUUAGUGAAUAUGCUAUUUCAAAUUCAAAGUAUGCAUCAUUGUAAAUAAAUAUAUUUGUUA
rnacentral:lncRNA from 1 species